rnacentral:rRNA from 2 species
GACGAACCUUGCAAACGUUAUUCGGAAUUACUGGGCUUAAAGGGUGCGUAGGCUGUGCAGAAAGUUGGGUGUGAAAUCCCUCGGCUCAACCGAGGAAUAGCAUUCAAAACUACUGUGCUAGAGGAAUACAGAGGUAAGCGGAACUUCGGGUGGAGCGGUGAAAUGCGUUGAUAUCCGAAGGAACACCGGUGGCGAAAGCGGCUUACUGGGUAUUUUCUGACGCUGAUGCACGAAAGCUAGGGGAGCGAACGGG